UAGGGAAUCUUCGGCAAUGGGGGCAACCCUGACCGAGCAACGCCGCGUGAGUGAAGAAGGUUUUCGGAUCGUAAAGCUCUGUUGUAAGUCAAGAACGGGUGUGAGAGUGGAAAGUUCACACUGUGACGGUAGCUUACCAGAAAGGGACGGCUAACUACGUGCCAGCAGCCGCGGUAAUACGUAGGUCCCGAGCGUUGUCCGGAUUUAUUGGGCGUAAAGCGAGCGCAGGCGGUUUGAUAAGUCUGAAGUUAAAGGCUGUGGCUCAACCAUAGUUCGCUUUGGAAACUGUCAAACUUGAGUGCAGAAGGGGAGAGUGGAAUUCCAUGUGUAGCGGUGAAAUGCGUAGAUAUAUGGAGGAACACCGGCGGCGAAAGCGGCUCUCUGGUCUGUAACUGACGCUGAGGCUCGAAAGCGUGGGGAGCGAACAGGAUUAGAUACCCUGGUAGUCCACGCCGUAAACGAUGAGUGCUAGGUGUUGGAUCCUUUCCGGGAUUCAGUGCCGCAGCUAACGCAUUAAGCACUCCGCCUGGGGAGUACGACCGCAAGGUUGAAACUCUAAAGUG
rnacentral:rRNA from 1 species